CGGAGAAAUUCCAAACGAACUUGGAGAUAGCUGGUUCUCUCCGAAAUAGCUUUAGGGCUAGCGUCGACAUUGAGAAUCUUGGAGGUAGAGCACUGUUUGGAUGAGGGGGCCAUCUCGGUUUACUGAUUUCAGAUAAACUCCGAAUGCCAAUGAUUUAUGGUCGGCAGUCAGACUGCGAGUGCUAAGAUCCGUAGUCGAAAGGGAAACAGCCCAGACCACCAGCUAAGGUCCCAAAAUAAUUGUUAAGUGGAAAAGGAUGUGGGGUUGCACAGACAACUAGGAUGUUAGCUUAGAAGCAGCUAUUCAUUCAAAGAGUGCGUAAUAGCUCACUAGUCGAGUGACCCUGCGCCGAAAAUGUACCGGGGCUAAAACAAUUUACCGAAGCUGUGGAUAACACGAAAGUGUUAUGGUAGGAGAGCGUUCUAUGUGUGAAGAAGGUAUACCGUGAGGAGUGCUGGAACGCAUAGAAGUGAGAAUGCCGGUAUGAGUAGCG
rnacentral:rRNA from 1 species